rnacentral:sRNA from 13 species
UUCCCCUGUGAAACGUUAGAAACAUUUUAAUUUGUGCAGGUAGUAAACGUUCGAAACAGCGUCGCGCCAUUACUUAAAUGCUGCAAAUCAACAAUGUGCAACAGAACAAAAAAGAACCAGUGUUAAAGUGUAUACAAAUUUAAUUUGUAUUUAUAAAAUUGAAAUAUAAAGUUUCAAAAUAAAAAAUAAACCACUUAGCUUGUCGUUAAAUUAAACUAAGUUGUGCAAAAUGAAGUGAAAACUCAAAAUAACAGAGUAAACGAUACAACGAAAUAUCGUUUAUGGAAAGACCGUAUCCAAAGAAUUCAAUAUACAACAUACAACGACAGACAACAACGCAGUAUCAAUUGGGCGGGACGAUUAUUUUUGCGAGAUAGGAUCAGCUUUAGGAUAAGGCUCCGUAUACAGGGAGUCAAACGAAGGACGCAAAAGCGAAGAAGCCGGGGAGCACGCAGAGGAAGUUGCCGCAUCUCUCCCAGCGUUAUGAUUGUGAUGGCUAACAAUGUGAUGUGGCACAGAGUUGGACACCGUCUAUGCAAAUCGAGCGCGCACCAUCGCCUACAGUUGUUACCACUGGGAGUUUCAGCUUCCGUCAUCCGUGCCAGAGCCAGAGGUUAUGCAUUGAGCCCCCAAUGUUUUGGGGGCACGUCAACAAAGGCCCAGCGACAGCAGGAGCAGAAUCUGCAUCAGCAGAACCGGCAGCAACAUGACGGCUUUAACUGCGAAGUAGUGUUGUGAAAUAGAAACUAAACCGAGACCGAAACCAUACUCUACCAAAAGAGUGAACUCUCAAGCCGAACCAAGGCUCCUUCCCUGUAAACACACGUCUAAUUUUAGUUAGCGGACCAAUCUGCCG